UACGUAGGUGACGAGCGUUAUCCGGAUUUACUGGGCGUAAAGCGCUUGUAGGUGGUUUUGUAAGUUGGACGUUAAAUCUCCAGGCUCAACUUGGAGAGGCCGUUCAAUACUGCAAGACUAGAGGAUGUCAGAGGAAGGUGGAAUUCCAGGUGUAGUAGUGAAAUGCGUAGAUAUCUGGAGGAACACCCAUGGCGAAGGCAGCCUUCUGGGACAUUCCUGACACUGAGAAGCGAAAGCUAGGGGAGCAAACAGG
rnacentral:rRNA from 1 species